rnacentral:tRNA from 1 species
GGAGAGAUGGGUGAGUGGCUUAAACCGCCUGUUUGCUAAACAGGUGUACGGGAAACCGUACCGGGGGUUCGAAUCCCCCUCCCUCCG